GAUGAACGCUGGCGGCGUGCCUAAUACAUGCAAGUCGAGCGAACGGACGAGAAGCUUGCUUCUCUGAUGUUAGCGGCGGACGGGUGAGUAACACGUGGAUAACCUACCUAUAAGACUGGGAUAACUUCGGGAAACCGUAGCUAAUACCGGAUAAUAUUUUGAACCGCAUGGUUCAAAAGUGAAAGACGGUCUUGCUGUCACUUAUAGAUGGAUCCGCGCUGCAUUAGCUAGUUGGUAAGGUAACGGCUUACCAAGGCAACGAUGCAUAGCCGACCUGAGAGGGUGAUCGGCCACACUGGAACUGAGACACGGUCCAGACUCCUACGGGAGGCAGCAGUAGGGAAUCUUCCGCAAUGGGCGAAAGCCUGACGGAGCAACGCCGCGUGAGUGAUGAAGGUCUUCGGAUCGUAAAACUCUGUUAUUAGGGAAGAACAUAUGUGUAAGUAACUGUGCACAUCUUGACGGUACCUAAUCAGAAAGCCACGGCUAACUACGUGCCAGCAGCCGCGGUAAUACGUAGGUGGCAAGCGUUAUCCGGAAUUAUUGGGCGUAAAGCGCGCGUAGGCGGUUUUUUAAGUCUGAUGUGAAAGCCCACGGCUCAACCGUGGAGGGUCAUUGGAAACUGGAAAACUUGAGUGCAGAAGAGGAAAGUGGAAUUCCAUGUGUAGCGGUGAAAUGCGCAGAGAUAUGGAGGAACACCAGUGGCGAAGGCGACUUUCUGGUCUGUAACUGACGCUGAUGUGCGAAAGCGUGGGGAUCAAACAGGAUUAGAUACCCUGGUAGUCCACGCCGUAAACGAUGAGUGCUAAGUGUUAGGGGGUUUCCGCCCCUUAGUGCUGCAGCUAACGCAUUAAGCACUCCGCCUGGGGAGUACGACCGCAAGGUUGAAACUCAAAGGAAUUGACGGGGACCCGCACAAGCGGUGGAGCAUGUGGUUUAAUUCGAAGCAACGCGAAGAACCUUACCAAAUCUUGACAUCCUUUGACAACUCUAGAGAUAGAGCCUUCCCCUUCGGGGGACAAAGUGACAGGUGGUGCAUGGUUGUCGUCAGCUCGUGUCGUGAGAUGUUGGGUUAAGUCCCGCAACGAGCGCAACCCUUAAGCUUAGUUGCCAUCAUUAAGUUGGGCACUCUAAGUUGACUGCCGGUGACAAACCGGAGGAGGGUGGGGAUGACGUCAAAUCAUCAUGCCCCUUAUGAUUUGGGCUACACACGUGCUACAAUGGACAAUACAAAGGGCAGCGAAACCGCGAGGUCAAGCAAAUCCCAUAAAGUUGUUCUCAGUUCGGAUUGUAGUCUGCAACUCGACUACAUGAAGCUGGAAUCGCUAGUAAUCGUAGAUCAGCAUGCUACGGUGAAUACGUUCCCGGGUCU
rnacentral:rRNA from 1 species